GACGAACGCUGGCGGCGUGCUUAACACAUGCAAGUCGAACGAAGUGGCGAACGGGUGAGUAAUAUGUGGGUAACCUGCCCUCCUUUUUGGGAUAAGCCUUGGAAACGGGGUCUAAUACCGAAUAAAGGGGGAUGGGCUCGCGGCCUAUCAGCUUGUUGGUGGGGUGAUGGCCUACCAAGGCGGUGACGGGUAGCCGGCCGGAGAGGGGGAACUGCGACAUUGGGACUGAGAUACGGCCCAGACGACUAAGGGGGGCAGCAGUGGGGGAUAUGGCACAAAGGGUGAAAGCCUGAUGCAGCGACGCCGCGUGGGGGAUGAAGGCUUUCGGGUUGUAAACCUCUUGCGCUAUCGAUCGGGUAGGUGGAGAAGAAGCGCCGGCUAACUACGUGCCAGCCGCCGCGGUAAUAC
rnacentral:rRNA from 1 species